rnacentral:rRNA from 1 species
UACGAAGGGGGCUAGCGUUGUUCGGAAUUACUGGGCGUAAAGCGUGCGCAGGCGGUUAUUCAAGUCAGAGGUGAAAGCCCCGGGCUCAACCCGGGAAUGGCCUUUGAGACUGGAUAGCUAGAGUGUGAGAGAGGUGAGUGGAAUUCCCAGUGUAGAGGUGAAAUUCGUAGAUAUUGGGAAGAACACCCGUGGCGAAGGCGGCUCACUGGCUCGCAACUGACGCUCAUGCACGACAGCGUGGGGAGCAAACAGG